rnacentral:rRNA from 1 species
AUUGAACGCUGGCGGCAUGCCUUACACAUGCAAGUCGAACGGCAGCACGGGUGCUUGCACCUGGUGGCGAGUGGCGAACGGGUGAGUAAUACAUUGGAACAUGUCCUGUAGUGGGGGAUAGCCCGGCGAAAGCCGGAUUAAUACCGCAUACGAUCUACGGAUGAAAGCGGGGGACCUUCGGGCCUCGCGCUAUAGGGUUGGCCGAUGGCUGAUUAGCUAGUUGGUGGGGUAAAGGCCUACCAAGGCGACGAUCAGUAGCUGGUCUGAGAGGACGACCAGCCACACUGGGACUGAGACACGGCCCAGACUCCUACGGGAGGCAGCAGUGGGGAAUUUUGGACAAUGGGCGAAAGCCUGAUCCAGCAAUGCCGCGUGUGUGAAGAAGGCCUUCGGGUUGUAAAGCACUUUUGUCCGGAAAGAAAUCCUUGGCCCUAAUACGGUCGGGGGAUGACGGUACCGGAAGAAUAAGCACCGGCUAACUACGUG